AGUGAACGCUGGCGGUAGGCCUAACACAUGCAAGUCGAACGGCAGCACAGUAAGAGCUUGCUCUUACGGGUGGCGAGUGGCGUACGGGUGAGGAAUACAUCGGAAUCUACUUUUUCGUGGGGGAUAACGUAGGGAAACUUACGCUAAUACCGCAUACGCCCUUCGGUUGAAAGCAGUGGAUCUUCGCACCUUGCGCGAUUGAAUUAGCCGAUGUCGGAUUAGCUAGUUGGCGGGGUAAAGGCCCACCAAGGCGGCGAUCCGUAGCUGGACUGAGAGGAUGAUAGGCGACACUGGAACUGAGACACGGUCCAGACUACUACGGGAGGCAGCAGUGGGGAAUAUUGGACAAUGGGCGCAAGCCUGAUCCAACCAUACCGCGUGGGUGAAGAAGGCCUUCGGGUUGUAAAGCCCUUUUGUUGGGAAAGAAAAGCAGCAGGUUAAUACCCCGCUGUUCUGACGGUACCCAAAGAAUAAGCACCGGCUAACUUCGUG
rnacentral:rRNA from 1 species